AUUGAACGCUGGCGGCAGGCCUAACACAUGCAAGUCGAACGAGUGGCGGACGGGUGAGUAAUGUCUGGGAAACUGUCUGAUGGAGGGGGAUAACUACUGGAAACGGUAGCUUAUACCGCAUACCAUCAGAUGUGCCCAGAUGGGAGUAGCUUGUUGGUGGGGUAACGGAUCACCAAGGCGACGACCCCUAGCUGGUCGGAGAGGAUGACAAGCCCCACUGGAACUGAGCCACGGUCCAGACGCCUACGGGAGGCAGCAGUGGGGAAUAUUGCACAAUGGGCGCAAGCCUGGUGCAGCCAUGCCGCGUGUAUGAAGAAGGCCUUCGGGUUGUAAAGUACGUUCAGCUGGGAGGCGUUACCCGCAGAAGAAGCACCGGCUAACUCCGUGCCAGCAGCCGCGGUAAUUC
rnacentral:rRNA from 1 species